UGGUGGAGACGGCAAAGGGAGCAGGAAAUGAGGGAGGAGGGGACAGGACUCCAAUGGAAGUGAUACCGGAAUCCCCCGAGGAGCUGAGGGGAUGAGGACAUGGAGGCUCUGACCCCUCCACUUGCCUCGCAGACCCCAGCUGGAGAGGCAUUUUUAAUUAAUUUAUCAGUGUGAACUCCAGAAUGAUGUUUUUUUUCUCUACUUCAUGGGAUUUUCCACUGGACAAGAAGGAUGUGCAUUACUGAAUAGGAAACUGAAAUGAAGUUUACCAGUAACGUCUCCAGUGAUGUGCUGUCUCCGAUGAUGGACCGGGGAAGCAGAGAAGGACAUCUGCAUUCAGCCCCUGUGCUGCCGAUCCCUGCUUUGCCUCUGGCUCCCUCCCCGGCGCUCUCGCAGUGUCCCUGUCUCGAACGCCUCUAACAGAAAGCACGUUUCUGACUUCCCUACAUCUGGGGCGUGGGAAGGCAGCACAGUAAGAGAACAGCACUCUCUUCCUGUGGAAAAAUCCGUAGGUUGCGUGAGAGACAGUGAGGAAAUAACGUGUUAUCUGUGUGCGGCUUCCUCGGGGCUGAGACGCGCGGGAGAGCCCUUGUUGACCUUGGGGAAACAAUGUUUUGCAGCUGUAAAGAGGAAGUUCUCUUAAAGCGUGUGUGUGUGUGUGAUUACACUCACUUUACAUGUAAAUGCAUGUAUUUACACAUAUACCUUGGUGAAUUCAGAAGCUCCUGCUUGAAUACGCUCUUUUUUAAGUCAUGAUUUUAAGAAUAUUAAGAAAACCCCCCGAGCCAAUUGGGACUGCUAUAAUGUUAUAAUUCUGCCUCAUCCCUUCAUUGCUGAUGGAACUGAGAAACAAGGAGAGGUGUAAACCUAAGGAGGUGUUCUGGUGUUAAUCACAACACUUCUGGGAGCAAAUAUUAGCACAUCAGUUGAAUAGAGUGAGUGAGGGGCGCUGUGAAACAUCCAUCCACUCUUCAGCACCGCAGUCUUGGUAACGUUUUCCUCCUCUAAACAAGGAGGGUGUCAGUGUCUGUUUGAACUAGAUUUCUCUGGUACAGACACUUUAAGCCACUAAAAUACUCCUUAUGCUUAGUUUCAAGUUUAACUGAACCAGCUGAAAGUUCCAUUUUGAUUGAAGGAGGAAGCUCAUCCUCCUGAUUAAGGCGUAGAAGCUAAUAUAUGCUUUUUAUCCCUCCAAAAGGAAAGAGGAAGAAGGUGAUGGUUACAGCAAAGUUACAUUUUCCCGUUCUGACUCCUAUAUUCCCCUGUAACGAAGGCAGGGACACUACAGAGAAUCAAAAAUGUGGGAAUAUGUAAGCGUAAAUGUCACAGAAUACACACUUUACUAGAACGUGGAUAUUAAUUGCACUGUUAAUUUUAAUUGCACUGCAUUUAUAAAGUCACACCUGUAUAGGUAAGCACUCCAAAAUCAGGAAAUAACAGAAUUAGGGUGGCAGGUGGCAGGUGCCACAACUGUGCUGCAAUCUUGAGAAAUGAUACACAGUUUCGACAGAAAAUCAUACAAUUUUCCUCUCGUAAAUUGACAAGUAAAUUUAGCAACAUUUUACAUUUGUUUAGCACAUCUCACCCUGAUGUACUCUGUGAAUUAAGUGCAGUCAGGCUUUAGUCAAAGAGCAAGAAUAGAAAAUAGCACUCACAGGUUAUAUAAAUAAAAUAUUUUCUACUGUAUCCUCAUUCCUUAGGGAAGUAUAUGCUUUAGCAGAUUUCCAGUUGGGACAUCUCAUAUCAGACUGACUUUAACUAAUGACUUUUUAUGAUAAUAACUGUUUCUAGAUUCAGGCAAUGAAAGAAGAACUUUACUUAGUGCCAAGCAAUUAGUAAUUAAUGAAGUGCUAACUAGGUGCCAAAAUGUAAGCUCUAGUCUUUCAAAUCAUUGGUUACCAAAACAAGAUUAAAAAGUAUCUUUAACACUGUACUCAGGAAGCUCAGCUGAGGCAAGGAAGUUAAUUUGAUUUUAUAUUAAUAUAUAGUUUUACUCCCAGAGGUUUGUAUGCAGCAGGAUAUGUUCCAUCAUAAUAAAGCACUAUUUCUCUUUUUCUCUUAAAAUGUGUUGAAUAAUUUGGAUUAUAAUCCGCACAAGCAGAGAUGAUUGUAUUACAGUAACUUACAUGAGAAGUGUUUUAUUCCCAAAUGCUUAUGCUAUCUUCUGUUAAUGAAAGAGUACAAUAAACUGUAGUCUGCUGGCA